AACGAACGCUGGCGGCAGGCCUAACACAUGCAAGUCGAACGCUCCGCAAGGGGGAGUGGCGCACGGGUGAGUAACACGUGGGAACCUACCUUCUGGUACGGAACAACCAAGGGAAACUCUGGCUGAUACCGUAUACGACCUCCGGGUGAAAGAUUGAUCGCCGGAAGAGGGGCCCGCGUCCGAUUAGCUAGUUGGUGGGGUAAUGGCUCACCAAGGCAUCGAUCGGUAACCGGCCUGAGAGGGCGGACGGUCACACUGGGACUGAGACACGGCCCAGACUCCUACGGGAGGCAGCAGUAGGGAAUUGUUCGCAAUGGGCGCAAGCCUGACGACGCAACGCCGCGUGGAAGAUGAAGACCUU
rnacentral:rRNA from 1 species